rnacentral:rRNA from 1 species
CCUACGGGAGGCUGCAGUGAGGAAUAUUGGACAAUGGACGAGAGUCUGAACCAGCCAAGUAGCGUGAAGGAUGACUGCCCUAGGGGUUGUAAACUUCUUUUAUAUGGGAAUAAAAUGUUCCACGUGUGGAAUUUUGUAUGUACCAUAUGAAUAAGGAUAGGCUAACUCCGUUCCAGCAGCCGCGGUAAUACAGAGGAUCCGAGCGUUAUCCGGAAUUAUUGGGUUUAAAGGGAACGUAGGUGGAUUGUUAAGUCAGUUGUGAAAGUUUGCGGCUCAACCGUACAAUUGCAGUUGAAACUUGCAGUCUUGAGUACAGUAGAGGUGGGCGGAAUGCGUGGUGGAGCGGUGAAAUGCUUAGAUAUCACGAAGAACUCCGAUUGCGAAGGCAGCGCACUGGACUGCAACUGACACUGAGGCUCGAAAGUGUGGGUAUCAAACAGGAUUAGAUACCCUUGUAGUC